GGAAUAUUGGGCAAUGGACGCAAGUCUGACCCAGCCAUGCCGCGUGCAGGAUGAAGGCGUUAUGCGUCGUAAACUGCUUUUAUACAGGAAGAAACGACUCUUGCGAGAGGCAUUGACGGUACUGUAUGAAUAAGCGCCGGCUAACUCCGUGCCAGCAGCCGCGGUAAUACGGAGGGUGCAAGCGUUGUCCGGAUUUAUUGGGUUUAAAGGGUGCGCAGGUGGUUUAUUAAGUCAGUGGUGAAAGACGGUCGCUCAACGAUUGCAGUGCCAUUGAAACUAGUAGACUUGAGUAAAGUAGAGGUGGGCGGAAUUGAUAGUGUAGCGGUGAAAUGCAUAGAUAUUAUCAAGAACUCCAAUUGCGUAGGCAGCUCACUUGGCUUUUACUGACACUCAUGCACGAAAGUGUGGGUAUCAAACAGGAUUAGAUACCCUGGUAGUCCACACUGUAAACGAUGAUAACUAGGUGUCGGCCGAAUCUGGUCGGUGCCACAGCGAAAGCGUUAAGUUAUCCACCUGGGGAGUACGCCGGCAACGGUGAAACUCAAAGGAAUUGACGG
rnacentral:rRNA from 1 species